rnacentral:rRNA from 1 species
CAGCAACGCCGCGUGAGGGAUGACGGCCUCCGGGUUGUAAACCUCUUUUAGUAGGGAAGAAGCGAAAGUGACGGUACCUGCAGAAAAAGCACCGGCUAACUACGUGCCAGCAGCCGCGGUAAUACGUAGGGUGCAAGCGUUGUCCGGAAUUAUUGGGCGUAAAGAGCUCGUAGGCGGUUUGUCGCGUCUGCUGUGAAAUCCCGAGGCUCAACCUCGGGCUUGCAGUGGGUACGGGCAGACUAGAGUGCGGUAGGGGAGAUUGGAAUUCCUGGUGUAGCGGUGGAAUGCGCAGAUAUCAGGAGGAACACCGAUGGCGAAGGCAGAUCUCUGGGCCGUAACUGACGCUGAGGAGCGAAAGCAUGGGGAGCGAACAGGAUUAGAUACCCUGGUAGUCCAUGCCGUAAACGUUGGGCGCUAGAUGUAGGGACCUUUCCACGGUUUCUGUGUCGUAGCUAACGCAUUAAGCGCCCCGCCUGGGGAGUACGGCCGCAAGGCUAAAACUCAAAGGAAUUGACGGGGGCCCGCACAAGCGGCGGAGCAUGCGGAUUAAUUCGAUGCAACGCGAAGAACCUUACCAAGGCUUGACAUACACCGGAAACGGCCAGAGAUGGUCGCCCCCUU